rnacentral:rRNA from 1 species
UACGUAGGGUGCGAGCGUUAAUCGGAAUUACUGGGCGUAAAGCGUGCGCAGGCGGUUCGUUAAGUCAGAUGUGAAAGCCCCGGGCUCAACCUGGGAACUGCAUUUGAAACUGGCGGGCUUGAGUAUGGCAGAGGGGGUGGAAUUCCGCGUGUAGCAGUGAAAUGCGUAGAGAUGCGGAGGAACACCGAUGGCGAAGGCAGCCCCUGGGCCAAUACUGACGCUCAGGCACGAAAGCGUGGGGAGCAAACAGG